rnacentral:rRNA from 1 species
CCUACGGGAGGCAGCAGUUAGGAAUCUUCCGCAAUGGGCGCAAGCCUGACGGAGCGACGCCGCUUGGAGGAGGAAGCCCUUCGGGGUGUAAACUCCUGAAACCCGGGACGAAACCCCCGAUGAGGGGACUGACGGUACCGGGGUAAUAGCGCCGGCCAACUCCGUGCCAGCAGCCGCGGUAAUACGGAGGGCGCGAGCGUUACCCGGAUUCACUGGGCGUAAAGGGCGUGUAGGCGGCCUGGGGCGUCCCAUGUGAAAGGCCACGGCUCAACCGUGGAGGAGCGUGGGAUACGCUCAGGCUAGACGGUGGGAGAGGGUGGUGGAAUUCCCGGAGUAGCGGUGAAAUGCGCAGAUACCGGGAGGAACGCCGAUGGUGAAGGCAGCCACCUGGUCCACCCGUGACGCUGAGGCGCGAAAGCGUGGGGAGCAAACCGGAUUAGAUACCCGGGUAGUCCACGCCCUAAACGAUGCGCGCUAGGUCUCUGGUUGUCUGGGGCCGAAGCUAACGCGUUAAGCGCGCCGCCUGGGGAGGUACGGCCGCGAGCGUGAACGUACAAGAAGUAGACGGCGUGAGACGUGCCGAACGGACGAACGACGAGGGGAGUUAGG